UUGCUCUGCGAGACAUGAAUGCUGCUACAGUUUUGCUUGUUUUGUACUUCAGGUAGUUGAAGAUUAUUACUUGGGUAGAUGCAAGUGAGGAGUGUGAAGUAGCAGUGCAGAAGAAUGUAGUACAGAAAAAUAUGCUAGCACAUAGUGGUGCAAGCAGUUGGUUUAUGGAUAUGGAAAGGAGGCAGCACAGUUAACAAAAAGAGUUCUUCAGGGAUAAUACUGAAGGCAAUUCUGAUUGAGGGGCUUUCAAAAGUAGCUCUUGAAGCUGACAGCUGCAGCCUGCAACGUAUCAAGUGCUUUAUAUAGCAACUUUAAUGAAAACUCACGAGUGUAAGGCGUGUCUUCUAUUUCCUUGGGAAGCAGUCUUUAAACUUGAAGCACAACAUCAAUAUUUUUCUCUUGGAAUUCUCUUGGAAUUCAAUCUGAACUUAAGGAAGAAUUUGGCCAAGUGGAUUUCUAUUAUUCCUUUCAUGAUGAAAAAUUAGAUAUUUCUGACCAAAGAUAGUUAUUUCUUUCAAGCUGUUUGUCAGAAAGGUGAUUCCAAAUGAACUUCCAAGUAAUUGAAGUUGAUGAGCACAUUCCAAGAUGAGCAGUAUUACCAUGGCCAUAGAACAGGCACACCAUGACUGGAUGAGAUUGCUCUGCAAAGAACCGGCUCUUUGGAGAAAUACCACAGAACCACUCAUGUUGAUGUGAAAUGCAUGCUUUGCAUAUGCAGAGGUCUCCCAGUCUCCCAGAAGACUAAUGUUCACAAUUCAACAAGAUUGUUGAUUGUUAGUGAGAAGAGCCAGCAGAAUAUUUAAAGCUUUGGAAAAAAAAAAAAAGAAGUAUUGAACAGGAAGAGUUCCAGGAGCUCCAUUUACUUAAUCUAUCCAAUGAAAGGAUCAGCUGUGGAAGCAGUACAAUGUCAUCCAGUGUAUCCUGACAAAAGGGGGAAGCUUGGCCAGUGAGACAGCUUUUUGAUCUUCAAUUACAAGAUGCAAGUUACUGCUGGAGCGUUUACAGAAGGUUUGUAAGUUUCUAUCUAAACAGUGCAUUUAAAGUGAUCUACUAUAGAAUGUUCCCAUGUGCUAUUGGCAGUCAGCUGCUUCAAAUGCAUGUGCAUGGAGUGCAACCUGAAAUGCAGCAUGCUGUAGGAGAUGGUUUGAUAGGCUAAUAUAUGCUCUUUUUUAGGCUAAUACAUCUGACCUUCUGACUUAAAACACUCUCUUCUAGUCCUGAUUUUAUAUUUUCAGCUCAAGCAAUCCCAGACAGUGGUGUACAGUAUCAUUAAGCUAUGCCAUAAUACUCUUAACAAGCAAUUGACGUGGAAUCUUGAAUCUGAUGGAACCAUAUUGUAAUGCAAACUGAACAAUGUAUAUAAUGUUAAUUCUAAAAGCUGAGCUUAAUUUUUGUUCUGUUUGACCAAUAUUGCUAAUAGAGAAAAACAUUUUAAUUUCUGUGGAACUGCUUAUACACAUUUUUAAAAGUCUCAUAACUCUUUUACUUGUUCCUUGCUUUGAUUUUGUUUCUGGCUGUCGCAACAACAGUGAGUAUAAAUCUUCCAAGUGCCCACCUGCUGGCUUCACAGAUCACUUACAAAGUUGUCACUAGCAGAUAUCAGACUAGUCAACUGCAAAAAUGCUGUGGAUCAGAAUGAGCUGGCUACUGCAGAUGAUCUUGGUUUGAUGACAGUGUGAAAACUGAUAGCUGCUUAAGUAUGCGAACUGGAGUUCUCUCAUUUAUGCUAGCACAACACUCUUGCAAAUGGUAGUCCAGCGUGCAAUCACAAUGAAAUGGGAUGAAAAUCCCUCAACAAUACCUGUGGGUUUUUUGUUGUUGUUCCUUCUUUAUUUCCUUGUAAAUACUUUGCCAUUCUGAAGAAAUGGAGGCUAAGAUGAUUAAUAUUUCAAGCAGAAAAUAUUUUGUCAUCUGCCUGACUUUCCAUCCAAAACUUGUGUGGAAGGAUGGAAAGUAAAUGAAUUUGUCUGUGUGUCAAUUGAUUCACAAUACAUGCUCAAAUUUUCGGAUUCUUGUAUUUCAGAACUAAGCAAAUAAACACCCUGAGGAAGGGCCUUCUCAGUAUGUCUCUCUAAAUCUCUCACCAUUUUUGA